rnacentral:rRNA from 1 species
AAAGCGAGCGGCGGAUGGGUGAGUAACACGUGGGGAACCUGCCCCUAAGUCUGGGAUACCAUUUGGAAACAGGUGCUAAUACCGGAUAAUAAAGCAGAUCGCAUGAUCAGCUUUUGAAAGGCGGCGUAAGCUGUCGCUAAGGGAUGGCCCCGCGGUGCAUUAGCUAGUUGGUAAGGUAACGGCUUACCAAGGCGACGAUGCAUAGCCGAGUUGAGAGACUGAUCGGCCACAUUGGGACUGAGACACGGCCCAAACUCCUACGGGAGGCAGCAGUAGGGAAUCUUCCACAAUGGACGCAAGUCUGAUGGAGCAACGCCGCGUGAGUGAAGAAGGUUUUCGGAUCGUAAAGCUCUGUUGUUGGUGAAGAAGGAUAGAGGUAGUAACUGGCCUUUAUUUGACGGUAAUCAACCAGAAAGUCACGGCUAACUACGUGCCAGCAGCCGCGGUAAUACGUAGGUGGCAAGCGUUGUCCGGAUUUAUUGGGCGUAAAGCGAGCGCAGGCGGAAAAAUAAGUCUAAUGUGAAAGCCCUCGGCUUAACCGAGGAACUGCAUCGGAAACUGUUUUUCUUGAGUGCAGAAGAGGAGAGUGGAACUCCAUGUGUAGCGGUGGAAUGCGUAGAUAUAUGGAAGAACACCAGUGGCGAAGGCGGCUCUCUGGUCUGCAACUGACGCUGAGGCUCGAAAGCAUGGGUAGCGAACAGGAUUAGAUACCCUGGUAGUCCAUGCCGUAAACGAUGAGUGCUAAGUGUUGGGAGGUUUCCGCCUCUCAGUGCUGCAGCUAACGCAUUAAGCACUCCGCCUGGGGAGUACGACCGCAAGGUUGAAACUCAAAGGAAUUGACGGGGGGCCCGCACAAGCGGUGGAGCAUGUGGUUUAA